rnacentral:rRNA from 2 species
AACCUGCGGAGGGAUCAUUACACAAUAUGAAAGCGGGUUGGGACCUCACCUCGGUGAGGGCUCCAGCUUGUCUGAAUUAUUCACCCAUGUCUUUUGCGCACUUCUUGUUUCCUGGGCGGGUUCGCCCGCCACCAGGACCAAACCAUAAACCUUUUUGUAAUUGCAAUCAGCGUCAGUAAACAAUGUAAUUAUUACAACUUUCAACAACGGAUCUCUUGGUUCUGGCAUCGAUGAAGAACGCAGCGAAAUGCGAUACGUAGUGUGAAUUGCAGAAUUCAGUGAAUCAUCGAAUCUUUGAACGCACAUUGCGCCCUUUGGUAUUCCAAAGGGCAUGCCUGUUCGAGCGUCAUUUGUACCCUCAAGCUUUGCUUGGUGUUGGGCGUCUUUGUCUCUCACGAGACUCGCCUUAAAAUGAUUGGCAGCCGACCUACUGGUUUCGGAGCGCAGCACAAUUCUUGCACUUUGAAUCAGCCUUGGUUGAGCAUCCAUCAAGACCACAUUUUCUUAACUUUUGACCUCGGAUCAGGUAGGGAUACCCGCUGAACUUAAGCAUAUCAAUAAGCGGAGGA